rnacentral:rRNA from 1 species
CCUACGGGAGGCAGCAGUGGGGAAUAUUGCACAAUGGGGGAAACCCUGAUGCAGCGACGCCGCGUGAGUGAAGAAGUAAUUCGUUAUGUAAAGCUCUAUCAGCAGGGAAGAAAAUGACGGUACCUGACUAAGAAGCCCCGGCUAACUACGUGCCAGCAGCCGCGGUAAUACGUAGGGGGCAAGCGUUAUCCGGAUUUACUGGGUGUAAAGGGAGCGUAGGCGGCGAUGCAAGUCAGAAGUGAAAGCCCGGGGCGCAACUCCGGGACUGCUUUUGAAACUGUGUUGCUAGAUUGCAGGAGAGGUAAGUGGAAUUCCUAGUGUAGCGGUGAAAUGCGUAGAUAUUAGGAGGAACACCAGUGGCGAAGGCGGCUUACUGGACUGUAAAUGACGCUGAGGCUCGAAAGCGUGGGGAGCAAACAGGAUUAGAUACCCGGGUAGUC